rnacentral:rRNA from 1 species
CCGGCUUCGGCCGGUGUAGCCCUGAACUGAAGCCCCGGUGAACGGCGGCCGUAACUAUAACGGUCCUAAGGUAGCGAAAUUCCUUGUCGGGUAAGUUCCGACCCGCACGAAAGGCGUAACGACUGGGGCGCUGUCCCGAGGAGGGUCCCGGCGAAACUGCGAACUGCGUGAAGACGCGCAGUGCCCGCAGCGGGACAAAAAGACCCCGUGGAGCUUUACUGGAGCCUGGUAUUGGGUUAGGGUUUGGCCUGUGUAGGAUAGGUGGGAGGCUGAGAAGCCCGGGCGCCAGCUCGGGUGGAGCCGCCGGUGAAAUACCACCCUGGUCAAAUCUUGGCCCUAACGCCGACCCGUGAACCCGGGCGGCGGACAGUGCCUGGUUGCCAGUUUUGCUGGGGCGGCAGCCUCCUAAAAGGUAACGGAGGCGCCCAAAGGUCCCCUCAGGCGGAAUGGAAACCCGCCGUUGAGUGCAAGGGCAUAAGGGGGCUUGACUGCGAGGCUGACAAGCCGAGCAGGGGCGAAAGCCGGGCCUAGUGACCCCACGGUUCCGUGUGGAAGGGCCGUGGAUCAACGGAUAAAAGCUACCCCGGGGAUAACAGGCUGGUGAGGCCCAAGAGUUCACAUCGACGGCCUCGCUCGGCACCUCGAUGUCGGCUCAUCGCAUCCUGGGGCUGGACAAGGUCCCAAGGGUCGGGCUGUUCGCCCGUUAAAGCGGUACGUGAGCUGGGUUCAGACCGUCGUGAGACAGGUCGGUCUCUAUCCGCUGUGGGCGUUGGGGGCUUGAGGGGUGCUGCCCCUAGUACGAGAGGACCGGGGUGGACGGACCUCUGGUGUGCCGGUUGUCGCGCCAGCGGCAUCGCCGGGUAGCCAACGUCCGGACGGGAUAACCGCUGAAAGCAUCUAAGCGGGAAGCCCACCCCAAGAUAAGGCCCCCCACCGGCUUUGACCGGGUAAGGCCGCCGGGAGACUACCGGUUUGAUAGGCCGCAGGUGGAAGCCCGGUAACGGGUGAAGCUGAGCGGUACUAACGGCCGAGGGCUUACACG